rnacentral:RNase_P_RNA from 1 species
AGUCGCGUAUAGCAAGUCCGAAAGGAAGCGUACGAGGAAAGUCCGGGCUCCAUAGAGCAAUGAUGCUGGAUAACGUCCAGUGAGGGAAACCUUAAGGAAAGUGCAACAGAAAAUAACCGCUAGUUAACUCCUUCUAAGGAGUGGUUAGUAAGGAUGAAAAGGCGAGGUAAGAGCUCACCGCUGGUAUGGUGACAUACUGGGUCAAUGUAAACCCCAUCUGGAGCAACACCCAAAAUAGAAGGCUAAGACUGCUCGUCAUCUUCUAAAAUGAGGUGGCUUGAGACAUAUAGUAAUAUAUGUACUAGAUAAAUGACUAUUCAAGACAGAACCCGGCUUACAGAUUUACUUAU